AUGGGGUCUUGCUAUGUUGUCCAGGCUCAUCUCAAAAUCCUGGCCUGGACAACAUAGCAAGUAAUCCU
rnacentral:pre_miRNA from 1 species